GUGCUCCCUUCGUUAGCACAUAUACUAAUAUUGGAACGAUACAGAGAAGAUUAGCAUGGCCCCUGUGCAAGGAUGACACGCAAAUUUGUGAAGCCUUGUAUAUUUAA
ensembl:snRNA U6 U6 spliceosomal RNA